rnacentral:lncRNA from 1 species
AGAUUUUUCUCUAUGUUUGAGUAGGUCUACCUAAAAGGUAGAAAUUCUAUGUUGUGUCAAAAUAAUUUCCUAUGUUCAAGAAGAUGAGGUCUCUAUAUUCGGACAACUAAGGGUUUUGUUUAACUGUUUAACUCUCUGUUUGCCUUUAUUAUCUUCUGUUGUCACUUUGGUUAAAUGGAUAGCUAAGCAUUAUUUCACAGUGACCUAUGAUCCUAUUUGACCAAGUGUUUUAUAAACUUUUGAUAGUUUUGAUAAACUUCCCCAAAAUUCAAAUCCUAAAUUAAAUCUUUCUUUUGACCCAAAAUUAACUUUGAGAAUUUCCAGUGGACCCCUGGGAGUUCUCAAAGAAUUUGUUCUCUCUUCUUAUAAAGAGGGAGAUAUUAAACUAGUUAGGCUUAUUUGGUAUGUUAAUUUGCAUGGGAAGCAUUGUCAAAUAUAUGACUAUAAACCCUUUUAGGUUAUACUGCAUGAGUGAGUGUUAUUAAUGUGUUCCAAAAAUUAUAUAAAAUUUCUAAAAAUCUGACAUGUCCUGGUAUAACUCUAGUAAUUAUCUUAAAAUGUGUUACAGAAAUCAUCAAAUUUUGUUCUCAAUUGCAUUGUAAUCAAAUCUUUAUGCCAUUUUAAGUCUUUUGUCAUUUACAACCAAUUAUUGUUUCCUCUGAUGCUUUUGCAAAUGUUUCAUCUUCAGAGAGAUUCAUGGAAAGGACUAUGACAAUCUAGAAAAAACAGAUUUCUGAUAAACUUUUAGAUCAUAAAACUGAAUUGGGCAAGAAAUUAUAGAACUCCAACAGUGAAAUUGAUGGCUUCAGAAAACUGCUAACAAAAGAUCAAGAAAUGAAACCAUUCUGUUUCCUGAAGCCCUGCAAAUGGAACUGAACAACUUGAUAUAAACUUAAGAGAGAUCACCACAAUAGCCCAUGUUUGGACAAUCUUCAUGACUGUUGCUGUGUAAGCCACUCAAAAACAUUCACCUGAACACCUGAUGACAUUGUCAGAGACAUUUCAAACUGCAAAAGAUGCUUCACCUUUGACAUUUAGAAAUCUUAUUGACUGACUAUCCACUGGGCUCAGAAACUAGUUUAUAAUUUGUUCCAACCAUUAACCUUGUUUCUGUUUUUGUUUCCAUAGAAAUGCUUCUUAUUAAAUACCAGAUUGCUUGUUAUUCUGUCUCAUGUCAAUUUAAUUCUUAAACCAGCCAAAAGAAUCUGGAGGGUAGAGGAAUAUAAUUUCCCCCCCUACAGUUUCUUCCCCACAAAAUUAGUGGAAAAAAACUUAGCCAACUAAAUAGGCA